rnacentral:tRNA from 1 species
GGGGCAUUGGUUCAAUGGAAGAGCAUCUACUUUGUAUGCAGAAGGUUCCAAGUUCAAUCACUGGCACCUCCA